AAGUCGUAACAAGGUUUCCGUAGGUGAACCUGCGGAAGGAUCAUUAACACUAAUGAAAUCCAAAACCUUUUGGAUCAACCCAACCUUAGCGAACCGUUCGUAUUUUCCCUUGCCCAAUUUUACCAAACGCAAAAAACUCUGAUGUAAAGUGUCUGAUUACUGUUCUCGUUUCGGUUGUAACGACCAGCGGGAAUCAAAAUCUAACGCAAUACAACUCUUAACAACGGAUAUCUUGGCUCUC
rnacentral:misc_RNA from 1 species